GAUGCCCGCCAGGAGUCUUCAGUCCUUGGUGGCUGGUUAUCGGAGACCCACAGGCCUGAUUGCAGGAAAGCAUAGAGGAACAAAGCCACUCUCCUCCAACCACCAGACUCUCCAGUGAUUCCUAUGUGACCUGCCUGCCAAUCAGCCCAGAGUGCUGCCAUUGACCCAAUCUGUGGGUUCUCUACAGGGCCAACAGCUGUGAUGACCAAGCCCCAUUUUAAUACAGGUGUAGAAACCAAAACCCAGAGAAAGAAUGGAGUUGGCCUUCUGAUUCUUGGUCCAGGACAUUCGAGGAGACCUAAGGCAGGUCCUUCGCAGCCCAUGUGAUCUGGGAUACCACCCCUUCCUCGCCUGGAUCUCUCCCUCCCCAGGAUCCUCAUUAACCAGUCCAAAAAGAAUGGGAGAGCACUUCCGAUGUGAUAUAAGGCCUACGCAGACUCAAGCAGUACAGCUUACCUCCCUCCAUGUGCAGGGAAUGGAGCUGGACAGCCAUUAGGAUGUGAUUUCCAUCUUCAGGGAGACCGGGGAGACCAAAUUGAGACGUCAGAAGUAACCAUAGAUUCUGUCCCCUUUUAAGUUUUUCCAGCUGGUACUGAGGAGCCCUCAGGGUCUCCAGGAGCACCCUACCCCAGACUGCCAAAAAGCUAGGACCAACCCCUUAGCCUCCACUUCAUCCCUAGCGGCUCGGCUUUCAUAGUCUUUGUUUCUUAUUUGUUGGGCUUCUGUAUGAGAUCACCUUUAAAUAAAGUACUGUACUCAUUUUUUACCACACACACACACACA